AUUGGAAAACAGGGGAAAACCCUCAGAAAGUCAAAGCCCACAAUUCGACCAACUACCAUUUUACCAUAAGAAGGAUCUUGACGAUUUCGAAGCACAGCUUUUACAAAAGCCAGAGUUGUUGGAGAAAUUUAAACUAUAUAUUAAGAAGACUGGGGGUGAAGCGUCAACCCCUUUUCUAAGAGCAGCAAUCAGGCGUAUUUUUUUCAGACGAGUUGGCAAUGUCUUUUUUGUGGAGGGGCACGGCAGAUAAGCCAAGCGCGGAAAAAUGUUUAGUAAACAAUAAUAAAAAAUAUUUGUCAUGAAAUGUUUCAAGUGGACGAAAAAGCCGUUAGAACAACGCUACAAAAACAUUUCGUUUAUGCAAACGAAAGAGUAAAAAAACGCCGUCUACCUUUGUCUGAAAAUAAAUGAAUGUUUUGAGCUGUAA